rnacentral:lncRNA from 1 species
UUAGAUUUGAAGAUGAAGAUUGAAGCCUUGUUGAAGUUUUGUUAGAUGACUAGAAGUCUAGAUCUGGCCAUGAAGUUUUGUAAAGUGAUGGAGAAUUAAUUUUUUAUCAGGUCGAGAGUGAGAGAGGUUUAGAUUUGAGAAGAUUUGAGAGAUUUGAGAGAGAGGUUUAGAUUUGAGGGCUGGGGGGGCGGCUGGAUGCAAGGGAAUGCUAGGGUUAAAAGUUUAGAUUUGAGAAGA